rnacentral:rRNA from 1 species
UACGUAGGGCGCAAGCGUUAUCCGGAAUUAUUGGGCGUAAAGAGCUCGUAGGCGGUCUGUCGCGUCGGCUGUGAAAACUCGGGGCUCAACCCCGAGCCUGCAGUCGAUACGGGCAGACUAGAGUCCGGCAGGGGGGACUGGAAUUCCCGGUGUAGCGGUGAAAUGCGUAGAGAUCGGGAGGAACACCAGAGGCGAAGGCGGCGACCUGGACAAGUACUGACACUCAACUACGAAAGCGUGGGUAGCAAACAGG